AACAGGUCUGAUCUGUGAUAUUUGCAUCGCACAUGCGUAUUAGCGCCCUCCUCUAUCGAUCGUGGGACAUUUGAAGUUCCUCAGUUCAUGCGCUUCUCCAGUCCGAAGAUAUUUUUUCUUCCAAGAAAAAAAUCACAGCAUAUUCAGGCAGGGAUUACUUAUAUGCUGGAGGAAAUAAAGACGUCUUUUGCAAAAGCAGACUCUGAGUCUAUAAAAAGUAAUGUUAUUGUAAUUGUUUCAUGUCCCUUAUUUUGUCCAUAUUCUAAUUUGAAUUGUUUCUGUCUCUUAUCUGAAUUAUUUUUUAUUCAGCAUGUUGCAGGACUUACUAUGAAACACUGCGGAGGAAAUACACUUUGUCUCUACCCGAAAAGUUACAGAUUAGGGACUCCAUUAAGGCAGUGGCUAAAAUAAGGAGUAAGUGUAGAAAUUCAUCCCUGUAUUAAGUUUGGUACAUCUCUGGGUGUUUUUUGUUGUGAAGUUGCUGGAGUCUGGGUCCAGGGUCAUUCAAACAGAUGCAGAGAGAGAACUGUAGCAGACAGCAACGCUGGAACUGAUGUCUGAUGAGGAGGAUGUCAUUGCUGACGGAAGGCCGGUGUGGGCUGUGAGAUCUCCACCUCACAGGAGACCACAGUUGUCAUCUUCAGCGCAGAUUGGAGGUAGAUGCACGCUACGUUCUUUCACACCAUCAGCGUGUAAGACCUAAUGAAACUGAGCCUGAAGGACAUUGAUUUUUGGAACUCUAAGAAGCACGGGUUCAUCUGUGACUGCUCCUCGGGUGAUAAAGUGCUCCAAAUGUCACUGGAUAGCUUAAAUGCAGAGGUCACAUUCCAAGUAUGGGUUACAUUGGUUAUUAUGUCACUUUCACUUCACUUUUAUAUUGUGUUUUAGUAUUUAGUGUUUAAUAUUUUAGCUUUUAGAACUGUAUAAAUAUAAUUGCACCUUUAUAAUUGCACAUUUGCUUCCUAAUUCUUACCUACUUGCUUUAUACAUUUAUUAGAUUUGGACAGUUCCAUAUUCUGUAACUUUGUUGAUAUUGCUUUGUGUUUGGUUGCUUUGUAUGUGUGUGGUUUGAUUUUAGUUUCAGUUCAGUUCCAUAUUCUAUAGCAUUCUAAUAUAUAUAUAUAUUUUAAUUGCUUUGUUUUGUUGAUUUAAAUAAGUGUUUUGUUUACUAAAAUAAACUGUAUAGUUUCAUAUUUUAUAACCUUCUAAUAUUGCUUUGAGAAGUGUCUGGUUGAAUUUAAAGUUAAAAAAAAAUCUGAAACAAUUCUAUUCUAAUUUUUAGAGGGUGCGAGGAAUGUAUAGUAUGGAGGGGGGUUAUGGUCUAUGUAUAUAACUGGCCAAUAACCAAUCAAGUCACUAAGAUAAAAGGCCUUGGGUUGGGUUUAGUAAAAAGCGUAACCAAUCAAAUAAUCUCAAGGGAAAGUAUCAAAAGUUGUGUCAGUUUUUGUCAGGGUUUUGAAAGUGGUUUUGAGAAGCCACCAAUCAAUGCUGAGAUGGAACUCCAAUGGGGACACCGUUGUGCAAAUGUGUGAAAUGCAAGAUCAUCUGCAGGUGUGAAAAAGUCCUCUGAUAAAAUCGUUGAUGGGAUUAUUUGCAAAAACAGCAGAUGUCUGUACCAUGGUAGGAUACAUAAGCAUGAUUGGUAUGAUUCCGGAAGUAUCCUAAACUGGUGGAAGUUGAUGUAUACAAUCAGUGGUGCAUACAGGAGCUUCCUUGUACAGAUACACCAAGUUUCAUAGAGUGCAGCUCCAGCACACGUGCAGGACGUUUCUGGUGAGACCUUGAUUAUCUGGUUAAGGUGUAAAACCACAGGACAGUGGCCCUCCAAGAACAGCUUUAGACAGCCCUGCUCAUAAAAGUUCACAACUGCCUUGUGAUAAAUUCUUUCUGGUUUCCUAAAAAUACUGGUAUGACAAUCUUUUGAGCAUAUGAACUUAUUGACAUCAGAGCUAAUAUUUUAAUGGUCUGUUAAGCAUUCAAUGAUUCAACACUUAAGAUAUCAUAAAGUGAUGAUACAUGAUCUACAAUAGUGAUGAAACAUUUAAACCAAGGAAUUCGGAGCUCAUGUCGAAAAUAUGGUCAUUCCAGAUGAAGCCUCGAUUCGAAGUUUGUGUUGUUAACGUAGAAAUCAUGUGACCAAUAACAAACGAAACCUCACUUUCUGUUCAAUGAUGUGCGUGAUUCACUUUUGUGUGUCGAAGUGUUCGAAUCCCCAGAUCUUACUUUACCAGUGUGUUUUCAUUCGGACUUACUCAGUUACACUUUAAAUAACCAGUCAUAAAAAUAAUAUCGAAUAAAGCUAAUUAUUUCAGAGAAAAAAAUAUAUGUUUUUCAUAUGCAAUUCAUAAGUGUACAUUAUUCUUCUGUUAGGCUAAAUUGAUAUUUGUAAUGGCAUUAACUGCCACAGUUAUUGGUUAAAUGCAUUUAACAAAGAGAGAAAUUCAACACACACACACACACACACACACACACACACACUGUUUGGCUUUUAUUUGUGUACCGAUCUAUGGAACGUUUUGUGGCUGCUUCGUCCGUCGGAGCUUCUUUCACGGGCUUUUGCCUGUUUUAUUUUUUACUGACCACCAGAUGAGGCUGUUUUAUAGGCUCUAGAAGUUUUGAAUCUUUCCCCGAAACAGUCAGAGGAAAGUCUCGGUGCUUCACGAGGCUUCAACCAACCAUCACUAGUUCUCAACUCUGGUCCACAUUUUCUAGGCUAUGUCUUCUUUAUUUAACAUAGCUGAACUAACCAAUUUAGAUCUUCGGGAGCACUUGAUUAUUGUUGGAUCAGGGUCAAUAUCAAUAAAACAAAUAAAUAAAAUAUAAAAUAAUAAUAAAAAGUAUAAAUACAUUUCCAAAUCUAUGUUUUCUAAGCAUAACAUUUAGAUUUUUGUUUUUUACCAGAAUGCAGAAAAUAGCUAUAAUAUAUAUUCUCAUAUUUUAUUUAUGUUUCAGUUUAAGUUCAGAUUAUUAUUAUUAUUUUAUCGUAGUAGAGAUGCAUAGGCCUACUCUACUUGUUUAUAAACUUUUUUUUAGGCUAUCUGAAUAAGUACAAUAUAAAAUAAUUAUUAAUGAUUUACUUGCUGAAAUCUUUGUUUAUUCUUUUUUAAAAAGAAAAAUGUUAAGAGUAGCUAUAUUAGCCUAUUUUUAUGGUUUAAAUAUAAAACAAAUUUUUACAAGCAAAGGAUAAAAAAAAAAUCAGAUGAGGUGAAUUUGACAGAACAGUAAUAAGCUAUUCAUCAUAAGCUCCAUAAAAACUGAGAGAUGUCGAGCAUGCACUUUCAUUGCUUGUGGGCGUCAUCAGUCACUCUUGGCAUCCAAAAACUGAACAUGCAAUUAAUGUCUUCACAUGCUUGUGAUAAAGACCCUACUCACCAUUACUGAAGUCAUAAAGCACAUGCAUGCUUUGUAAUCAGAGAGAAUAGAAAACCUGCUAGCCAGCUUGCUGACAAUAAUGGAACUGUUGCCCAAAAUAUAUUUUUAUCCACACACACAAAAAAAAAAAAAAAAAAAAAAAAAAAAUGUACAAAAUGCGAAUUUUGUCCCGAAUUAGCAUUUUUUCCAAUUGAAACAGGACAUAUGGAGUUGAUGAAUCAUUAGGUCUUGUCCAAAUUGUUUAAUAGCCAAAUGAUUGAGUUUACAAUGCAUGCUUUUUACUUGCUAUUUCUAUUAUGGGGUCAGAGUUAAAGUGUUAACUAUAAUACACAGAAGGCAAGUUUUCAAGGUUACUAAAGAUAUUAAAUUUAUAUCUUCAGUGUUGAGGCUCAGCGGAUGCUAGGUGUGGUGCUUAUGCAGAUCAUAAGAGUACCAUUCUGACUCACAGAAUUUCCUGACCCCCAUUGCCUUUUAAGUGAAAGCUCUCUGGAAGAUAACUUUUUUUUUUUUUUUUUUAACAGAUGAACUAAAGUGAUUAUACCAUUGGGGUUCCUUUGUAACUGUCAUUCUCAGAAUAAAAUAAUAAUAAAAUAUUAUAAAAAAUAAAAAAAAAACCUGCCCCGUCCCCUUUGCACUAUAUUAACAGCUUGUUUUCCUUAAAGGAAAGAAAGAAACUAUCAAUCGCUUCUCUAAUCAUUUUGUAUUGUAUGUAUUUGUUUUCUUUUUUUAUUUAUUAUUCAAUUAACAAAAAAAGGAGAAAAAAACAAGCAAGUCUCUAACACCUAUUUUUUUCUUUUUCUUUUCUUUUUUUUCUUUUUGUUUAUUAUAUGAUUUUAAUAAACCCUUGCUACAUGUACUGCAUUAAGCCAACUGAGACUUGUCAUAGCACAUAUAUCAUUGCUCUUUUGUUGAUUCUGUUUGCUUCUAUUGUCCUUGUUUGUAAUUUGCUUUGGAUAAAAGCAUCUGCAAAAUGUCUAAAUGUAAUGAAAAUGUAAAAUGCAUCUUCAAGUAAUUUAAACAGAGAUGAAAAAAGUAAUUGAAACAAGUAAUUUUAAUGAUGGAAGAAAAGCGAUAACACCUUUUGCUCUGUGUUUCCUUUGAGGCUGUCAUUCUCAGAAUUCAUAUUUAUGUGUCACAUCCUCUUCAAUCUAGAGCUGAAGAAGAGUAGUAAAAGUGAGUCACACAAACCUUUAUUACAAAAGUAAUGGAAUCUAUUCUUUAUCAGAGGUGGCAACACAGAACUAACAAAUAUAACAAUCGAAAUAUUUUACAAAACGUACAUUAGGAGAAAACAUCCUGAUUUGUAUGCUGAUAUCUAUGAUGUACUUUAUACAAUGUGUUAUGUGUUACGACAUCUACUUAAAAUAUUAAAAAACAGAUUAAUAAAAUGAUAAACAAAACUGAGUUUGAUGUUACAGAGUUAUUAAUGAAGAUGAGAAAUAAAGCAAAUUAACGUGGAGCCUGUUUUCAGUUCCUGCUUGUGACACUAGACAACUCAGCAAAUGAUUCAUUGUUACAGUUAUAGCUGCUAUAAAAGGAGGAAUUGUUGAUGAAAAAAAACCAUCUACAGAAUUCUUUUUAUUUUUUAUUUUAAAUCAUAUAUAUAUAUAUAUAUUUUUUUUUUACCUCAAUAUGGAAUUCUUGGAAAAUAUAAAAGACAUAGAGCUUAUAGUUAAAAUGAAGCAAAAAUGGAAAAAAAUACUGCAAUUUUUGGAUAUUCUUCAUAUUUAAAACAUGCCUGUAGAUCUUUAACAAUACAGAAAAUUCAUGACAAAAUCUCCUCAAACAGAAUGGACGUUAAGACGGCAUUAGAAAAUGCAAAAAAAAAAAAAAAAAAAAGAAGAAGAAUAA